rfam:Stegodyphus mimosarum contig12439, whole genome shotgun sequence.
GCCUUCGUGGUGUAGUGGUCAACACACUCGGCGCGUACUCGAGAGAUCCGUGGUUCGAGUCCCGGCAAGGGCA